GAAGAAAGAGCCAAGUCAAUGUUCUGGAAGAUCCAGGUUGCUGGCGCUGAGGAAUGGAGAACUGAGAAUGAGGGUGUGCUGCCUCAGGCUCAAAAGCAGCAGAAGCACUUGAUGACAGCCUGAGAUCUCUAAACCCAUGAGCCGGACCAGUUUCUGCGGGUGUGCACUUUAUGAAAAACGGAAAAUACCAGCAUCCUUGCUUUGUAAGGUGCUUCGUCCUGGUUAUCUGAGCAGGUCAAAUUCCUCCA